rnacentral:rRNA from 1 species
UACGUAGGGGGCAAGCGUUGUCCGGAAUCAUUGGGCGUAAAGAGCGUGUAGGCGGCCCGGUAAGUCGGUUGUGAAAGUCAAGGGCUCAACCCUUGAAUGCCGACCGAUACUGUCGGGCUAGAGUCCGGAAGAGGCGAGUGGAAUUCCUGGUGUAGCGGUGAAAUGCGCAGAUAUCAGGAAGAACACCUAUGGCGAAGGCAGCUCGCUGGGACGGAACUGACGCUGAGGCGCG